UGUAGAUGAACCAUCGCAUGAAAAGAUUAAAGACUGGGAGAGUACUAAAACUGUAGACUUUAUUGAUAAUAUAGACGGAGAAAAAGUAAAAGAAAUACUGACUCAACUAGUAAAUAUGGUUGACAAUGCAACAAUAAAUGAAACAACCAUAAAUACCGCAGUUGAGAGUAUAAGUAAUUUACUAACCGAUGCAGCUAAGAGUACUUUUGGCACAUAUACCCAGCAAAAACUUAAUCCAAAUUUACAAAAAUAUAAGAAGGCAUCAAAACCGUGGUUUGAUGAUGAUUGUAAAGAAGCCAGGAAAAAAUAUAAAUCAUCAAAAAGAAAGUUGAGAAGAAAUCGAUCUCAACUUCAGGAGGCCGAAACUAAAUCUUUAGAGAAAAAAUAUAAGAGGACUAUGGAUAAAAGUAUGAGAAAACAUAGGAAAAAAAUUAGAAAUAAAAUAAAUAAUUUGAAAUCCACUAACCCAAAAGAAUAUUGGAAAAAUUU
rnacentral:lncRNA from 1 species